AAACGACUCUCGACAACGGAUAUCUCGGCUCUCGCAUCGAUGAAGAACGUAGUGAAAUGCGAUACUUGGUGUGAAUUGCAGAAUCCCGUGAACCAUUGAGUUUUUGAACGCAAGUUGCGCCCGAAGCCUUCUGGCCGAGGGCACGUCUGCCUGGGCGUCACGCAU
rnacentral:rRNA from 1 species